GGGACCGUGGGGUAAUGGUAUCCUUCGGCGUUUGGGACGCCGUAAUCCCGGUUCGAUUCCGGGCGGUCCCA
rnacentral:tRNA from 2 species